AUACGGAGGAUCCGAGCGUUAUCCGGAUUUAUUGGGUUUAAAGGGUGCGCAGGCGGCCAUUUAAGUCAGCGGUUAAAUCGUGGGGCUCAACCCCAUUCUGCCGUUGAUACUGGGUGGCUUGAUUGCGGUCGAGGUUGGCGGAAUUCGUUGUGUAGCGGUGAAAUGCAUAGAUAUGACGAAGAACACCGAUUGCGUAGGCAGCUGGGGAGAGCGCGGAGGGCGCGCGUGCACGAAAGUGGGGGGAUCGAACAGGAUUAGAUGCCGUGGUAGGGCGCGCAGGAAGCGAUGAAUACUUGGUUUCGGCGAUAUAAUGUCGGAGGCGAAGCGAAAGCGAUAAGGAGUCCGCCUGGGGAGUACGCCGGCAACGGUGAAACUCAAAGGAAUUGACGGGG
rnacentral:rRNA from 1 species